UGUCAGUGUGUUACAGAUGGAGAUCAGAGCAGAGCCAAACUGAUGGUCUCUGUCUUAGACGGCUGGAGGACAUUGCAGUCGUUGUGAUAAUAAAGGAGCUGCAGAUAAAUGCAGAGUUAAUGCAGGAAGGGGUUCAUCCUUUGCUUCAAGCCAUCAGGUGCAUCAGGACAGCUGCUCGGGCUGAUUGUGCUCUGAAGCGAUGGAUUGAAAGGUUGGGUUUCAGCGUGACGCUGCAUGAGGAAAGGAUGGCUCUGUUACCUCAGAAAUAAAACUUCCACCCACCUGGGACUGAGGCCCUGUCAUCCAGCGUGCAUUGUGUGCAGAUUUGCUGCAUGCAGAGUGCUUUUUUGGGGGGCUGUCUGCUUUUUGACAGGUCUUCGUUGCAGUUUUCUCCCUCAGUAUAUCUCCUCAAGAGCUCCUUCAAGUGCUCUCAGCUGUCAAGAGUCCGUCUCCACACGCUUCCUCCGCUUAAUUCAUCUCUCCAAGUAUUUUCAGUUCAUCUGCCAUGAAUCCCACUGACAGUGUCACUGGGUUUUUGGAGUAUGUAAUUCUGUCUCUGUCUUAUUCCUUUUGUAUGGGAACAUCUUUAUGAGAGUGUUUAUCAAUAUCAUAGACUUCAGUAAGUCAUCAUCGGCCUUUGUUUCUUUGAUGUAUGAGAGAGCACGAACCUCUGUUCCCUGCAUUUGCCCGUAUUUCUGUCUCAGUGCUUCAGAAACGUCCAGAAUCUUUACCAGAUGACUGCAGAUGACUAGAAACAACUGAUCCAACAUCAGUUUUUCAGAUCAUCACAGUGCACUGACCGUAGAUUUGUGGACCUGGAAUUUAAGAGAACAAAACCAUCUUUGACCUUUCAGGUAAUCUGCAGUGUUUCAGGCUCAUAGUGUAUUUAAAUGCUGUAGUCUGGCGCCCCCUGCUGCCCUCUAAUCAUGAUCUUUUUUUUCUUACGUCCCCCUGU